UACGGGGGGGCAAGCGUUGUUCGGAAUUACUGGGCGUAAAGGCUCGUAGGCGGCCAACUAAGUCGGACGUGAAAUCCCUCGGCUUAACCGGGAACUGCGUCCGAUACUGGAUGGCUUGAGUUCGGGAGAGGGAUGCGGAAUUCAGGUGUAGCGGUGAAAUGCGUAGAUAUCAGGAGGAACACUGUGGUGUAGACCAGCUUACUGGACCACUUCUGACGCUGAGACACGAAAGCGUGGGUAGCAAACAGG
rnacentral:rRNA from 1 species